ensembl:snoRNA
AUCCUUUCGGUUCAUAAAGCGUGAUGAUUGGGUGUUCAUGCCAUGUGCGUGAUAAGUGCCGCCCACUAAACCUUGUUAGGACAUGAACAUAUUACCCGUCUGACG